GACAAUGGGCGCAAGCCUGAUCCAGCCAUGCCGCGUGAGUGAUGAAGGCCUUAGGGUUGUAAAGCUCUUUUAGCAGGGCAGAUAAUGACGGUACCUGCAGAAAAAGCCCCGGCUAACUUCGUGCCAGCAGCCGCGGUAAUACGAAGGGGGCUAGCGUUGCUAGGAAUUCCUGGGCGUAAAGCGCACGUAGGCGGACUCUUAAGUCGGUGGUGAAAUCCUGGAGGUCAACUCCAGAACUGCCUUCGAUACUGGGAGGCUUGAGUUCUGGGGAGGUGAGUGGAACUGCGAGUGUAGAGGUGAAAUUCGUAGAUAUUCGCAAGAACACCAGUGGCGAAGGCGUCUCACUGGCCCGAUACUGACGCUGAGGUGCG
rnacentral:rRNA from 1 species